GCAACAGCGUUACUGGAGUCUAUGAAUGAUGAUUACGUUUUGAAUAGCGAGGAUGAACCAACACCGUCCGGUGCAUCGAUAUCAUCCAUAUCUACAGCACAAACUCCAGCUCGAGCACAGACACCAACACGAGCACAGACACCAACGCCGAGUGCCAGCUCGACACCGCGUGUGGUUCUAGGCAAGAGGAGACGAGGAGGAGAGGAACUGGCCCUGCUGGAACGG